AUGACCCAUAGUCUUAAAGAACAGGCUAAUCACUGCAGAGAUUGGUUGCUUUUUGCUCUUCAUCAGCUGCAAGAUUUACAUAAAAAUCACUUAAGCUGGAAUUCAACAAAAGCUGCUGUAGUAGGAUCUUCCAAGAACAACAGCCCUCAGCUCAAGCCUUUUGGGAAGAAAAUUUCCCAGAUGCCCAGCCAGCUGUAUGCCAGCAGCAGAGCGAAAAGACAAACUGCUACUGGUUUCCCGCAGAGAAAACCUACUUUAUCUCAAGGAGCUGAACUGCCAGGUGGAGUUGAGUAAACUUUGGGGGUUGCAAUACAGUUGAGGCACAAAGUUCACCAUCAACGUAAAACAACCAACCCAGUUCUGCUUUUUAAUGUGCUCUAAACUGAUGGAACGGAGCAAUGUAAACAAGGGUGAAGCAACAGCUUCAGGAGGAAAAGGGCUGCACUAUAUUGACAACUAAUGCCUGAACUGCUAUUUUAGCGUCUUUAUGUGGGGACUAUAAUUUUAUUGGCCCUCAGAGUUUGCUGGGAAAUCAAGGCUGAGAAGGGAAAAGGGAAUUAGAAGAGAGGAAUUGUGUACUGCCUGCCAGGUCAACUGAUUCAUGGACUCUCGGAGUUAGAAAGACCUUUUUGAGAGCAAGGAGUUCAACCUUCUUGCUUUUUUAGGUAAGGAACCUGAAACUUGGGUAAAUUAAAUGGCAUGAGGCUUAUGGUUUCAUGCAAAGUUUAAGGACUUUGUGUUCAUGUCCCUUAACUUUGUCAAGUAGAGAUACUCAUAUAUAUGUUAUAGGUUGUUAUGGGGAUUAAACAAGAGAGCUUUGUUGGAGUUUAUUACAGGUGAUGAGUUACCUUCCCUCCUUUGACCAGUGUCACUGAGCUAAUUGGUCCUGAAGAAGGGAGCAGACAUCAUUUCUCAGUUUGUUGCUUCUCCUUUGUUCGUGUUAUCUCAGCGUUUGGAGGACAGGAUUCCUGAAAUCCCCAAAUGAAUGAACUCUAUGGUUAAACUAAAAACCUCUUUUUGAGGGCACCUGGGUGGCUCAGUCAGUUAAGGUCUGCCUUCGGUUCAGGUCAUGAUCCCAAGGUCCUGGGAUCGAGCCCCACAUUGGGCUCCCUGCGCAGCAGGAAGCCUGUUUCUCUCUCUCCCUUUGCCUGUUGCUCCCCCUGCUUGUGCUCUCUCUCUCUCUCUGUGUCAAAUAAUUAAAUAAAAAUCUUAAAA
rnacentral:lncRNA from 1 species